rnacentral:lncRNA from 1 species
CCUCAUUAAAACAAACUGAAUCGAACUACUCGAAUGCAACUUUCACCAUUCAAUGCACGAUUAGUAAUUUGUGCUACACAUCUUUGUUUAAUUAUACCCUAUAGCAGAAGGGAUAGAACGAUAUACAAAUAAGAAUUGCUAAGGUCCAAGCAUUCAAAAUUAUAAGGGGGAAAAAAAAAAUACAAAACUAAAGCAAUUCAUACAGCUAGCAUUUGAUUCUAUGGAGCAUCCAAAUGGCCUUAAAUUUGCUUAAUGGAAACACAUUACUGCCUCGUAUCAUCUUGUUUCAGAUCUGAAUUGGAUAUUACAAAAACCUUUAACUACCCACCAAAUAACAAGUUUGAAGAGAGCUUGGCAGAAAUAAAGGAUUAAGUCGAGGAUCCAACCAUUGGGAUAAGUCGCUUCUUCCUCCUUAAGGCCAACCUUACCUAUUUCCUCUAACAUAUUUUUCUGGCAAACUAAAGACUCUUGAAAACCUUAGCAUUAUAUUCUUGGAGCUGCACAAAAUGGACCAUGACGAAGUUAACGAUUAAGCCCUCUUUGGGCUUCAUUUUUUCAAGAAAAUAUAUUUUCUGGAAUGGUAAAAAGUUGGAAGAUGUGAGGUUAUAAAAUAGAGAAAAGUUUUCGAUUUACGUGUAAAAUUAUUUUAUGAAAGAAUAUGUGGUUGAAAAAAGAGUUGUAAAAAUAAGGUUUUUAUAAAAAUGGAGCCCAAACAUGGGCUAAAAAGGAAAAGGAAGUUUGAAGGAACGAUGGAGUGGAAGGGUCCAUAACAUAGAGAUUUUAUCCUACCUCCACCAAUUGUUGCUUCAGGUAGCCGUUCAAUAGAAUACUUGUGUUGAGUAAUAUACAUGAUUGGUACACCCGGGAUCUGAUCAUAAAUAUCAAUGUUAGAUUUCAAUG